rnacentral:rRNA from 1 species
UACGUAGGGUGCAAGCGUUUAAUCGGAAUUACUGGGCGUAAAGGGUGCGUAGGCGGUUCCGCAAGUCCUGUGUGAAAUCUUCGGGCUCAACUCGAAGUCUGCACGGGAAACUGCGGGGCUUGAGUGUGGGAGAGGUGAGUGGAAUCCCGGUGUAGCGGUGAAAUGCGUAGAUAUCGGGAGGAACACCUGUGGCGAAAGCGGCUCACUGGACCACUAACUGACGCUGAUGCACGAAAGCUGGGGGAGCAAACAGG